UACAGGGGGUGCAAACGUUGCUCGGAAUUAUUGGGCGUAAAGCGCGCGUAGGCGGCUAUCUAAGUCGGAUGUGAAAGCCCCUGGCUUAACUGGGGAAGUGCACCCGAAACUGGGUAGCUAGAGUGCAAAAGAGGGUCGCGGAAUUCCCGGUGUAGAGGUGAAAUUCGUAGAUAUCGGGAGGAACACCAGUGGCGAAGGCGGCGACCUGGGCCAAUAUUGACGCUGAGGUGCGAAAGCGUGGGGAGCAAACAGG
rnacentral:rRNA from 1 species